UGCAUAUCAAAAAGCGGAGGAAAAGAAACCAACAGGGAUUGCCCUAGUAACGGCGAGUGAAGCGGCAACAGCUCAAAUUUGAAAUCUGGCUCUCGGGCCCGAGUUGUAAUUUGUAGAGGAUACUUUUGAUGCGGUGCCUUCCGAGUUCCCUGGAACGGGACGCCAUAGAGGGUGAGAGCCCCGUCUGGUUGGAUGCCAAAUCUCUGUAAAGUUCCUUCAACGAGUCGAGUAGUUUGGGAAUGCUGCUCUAAAUGGGAGGUAUAUGUCUUCUAAAGCUAAAUACCGGCCAGAGACCGAUAGCGCACAAGUAGAGUGAUCGAAAGAUGAAAAGCACUUUGAAAAGAGAGUUAAAAAGUACGUGAAAUUGUUGAAAGGGAAGCGUUUAUGACCAGACUUGGGCUUGGUUAAUCAUCUGGGGUUCUCCCCAGUGCACUUUUCCAGUCCAGGCCAGCAUCAGUUUUCCCCGGGGGAUAAAGGCGGCGGGAAUGUGGCUCUCUUCGGGGAGUGUUAUAGCCCACCGUGUAAUACCCUGGGGGGGACUGAGGUUCGCGCAUCUGCAAGGAUGCUGGCGUAAUGGUCAUCAACGACCCGUCUUGAACACGGACCA
rnacentral:rRNA from 1 species